rnacentral:rRNA from 1 species
GAUGAACGCUGGCGGCGUGCCUAAUACAUGCAAGUCGAGCGAACGGACGAGAAGCUUGCUUUUCUGAUGUUAGCGGCGGACGGGUGAGUAACACGUGGAUAACCUACCUAUAAGACUGGGAUAACUUCGGGAAACCGGAGCUACUACCGGAUAAUAUUUUGAACCGCAUGGUUCAAAAGUGAAAGACGGUCUUGCUGUCACUUAUAGAUGGAUCCGCGCUGCAUUAGCUAGUUGGUAAGGUAACGGCUUACCAAGGCAACGAUGCAUAGCCGACCUGAGAGGGUGAUCGGCCACACUGGAACUGAGACACGGUCCAGACUCCUACGGGAGGCAGCAGUAGGGAAUCUUCCGCAAUGGGCGAAAGCCUGACGGAGCAACGCCGCGUGAGUGAUGAAGGUCUUCGGAUCGUAAAGCUCUGUUAUUAGGGAAGAACAUAUGUGUAAGUAACUGUGCACAUCUUGACGGUACCUAAUCAGAAAGCCACGGCUAACUACGUG